rnacentral:rRNA from 1 species
GACGAACGCUGGCGGCGUGCUUAACACAUGCAAGUCGAACGGAAAGGCCCUGCUUUUGUGGGGUGCUCGAGUGGCGAACGGGUGAGUAACACGUGAGUAACCUGCCCUUGACUUUGGGAUAACUUCAGGAAACUGGGGCUAAUACCGGAUAGGAGCUCCUGCUGCAUGGUGGGGGUUGGAAAGUUUCGGCGGUUGGGGAUGGACUCGCGGCUUAUCAGCUUGUUGGUGGGGUAGUGGCUUACCAAGGCUUUGACGGGUAGCCGGCCUGAGAGGGUGACCGGCCACAUUGGGACUGAGAUACGGCCCAGACUCCUACGGGAGGCAGCAGUGGGGAAUAUUGCACAAUGGGCGGAAACCUGAUGCAGCAACGCCGCGUGCGGGAUGACGGCCAUCGGGUUGUAAACCGCUUUCGCCUGUGACGAAGCGUGAGUGACGGUAAUGGGUAAAGAAGCACCGGCUAACUACGUG